CGGCGGACGGGUGAGUAACGCGUGGGGAACCUGCCCUUAAGUUCGGGAUACCAACUCGAAAGGGUUGUUAAUACCGGAUGUGCUGCAUUAGCCGCAUGGCGGAUGUAGUAAAGGGGAGACCCGCUUAAGGAUGGCCCUGCGUUCCAUUAGCUAGUUGGUGGGGUAACGGCCUACCAAGGCGACGAUGGAUAGCCGGCCUGAGAGGGCGACCGGCCACACUGGGACUGAGACACGGCCCAGACUCCUACGGGGGGCAGCAGUGGGGAAUCUUGCACAAUGGGCGGAAGCCUGAUGCAGCGACGCCGCGUGAGGGACGAAGGUCUUCGGAUCGUAAACCUCUGUCCAAAGGGACGAAGGAGUGACGGUACCUUUGGAGGAAGCCCCGGCCAACUACGUGCCAGCAGCCGCGGUAAGACGUAGGGGGCGAGCGUUGUCCGGAAUCAUUGGGCGUA
rnacentral:rRNA from 1 species